UUAUCCUAUAAACCACGUAAUAUUCGAAAAGAAUCUUUGUUAUUUUUAACAUUCCACAAACACGAAAAUUUACCUUAUAGACAACAUCUCCAAAAUAUGUGGUCGAAUUAACAUAAAUACUUCCAUUAUUUAUACAACGCAUUCCUCGUCCGAUUCCCAAAGCGAAGCGCAGUGAAAAUUUUCGAAAUUUCGGACGUACUUAGCGCAAGUGAUGGGCUAAUGGCGAAUCGUGCGGUGCAGUGACAGGUAGACGUUCCGUGGUCGUUUUUUGGUAAUUUCGGGUGGUGUUAACUACGUAGAUGAUUACAAAUGAAGGCUAGUAGUUAGUCUGGUAUGUAAAUAUUUGUCCAAGAGGUAGAAUCGCGCGAGGUGCGUGUCCGUGUAAAGUGGACCGGGUCGGGCCAGUUUGGCAGUUGUUCCAGAGACUCAAUGGCACACCAGACAGAGACGGAGUUUUAGGAAUUCCACCCGCUGUAUCUUGUUAAGUCAUCUCGGCUCACGAUCGAGGAGAAGCCAGAUUUACGCCCACCUACUCGCCCAGUUUACACCGGCCCGAUUUCUCUUUGUAGCCACUUUGGCCAAGAUUCCAGAGCCGUAGCCGGAAAAUGCGCUCUUCCGGCACUGACCGCAUACUUUUAGUUGCAGCCCUGAGCGGAAGGAAUCGACCGCCUGCCGAAUUCCUAAGCAGAUGCUAAUUGCGAAAUUAGUUUUUAUGGCCGCAUAAAUAGGUUCCGAUUUUUCGAGCAUUAAUAUUUAUCGGGGUGGUGAGAGAUUGGCUAUCGCAAAUUUCGGCGCGAUUAUUAAGAAAAACGUGAGCCAAAUAUUUACAUUGUUUGCGGGAAUAUUAAACAAGCAAUAAACAACUGGCCAAAUGAGUAACUUUUUGCGAAUACAAGACGCUCGCUUUGUCGGUAUUACACGUGACAUUUUAAACACGGACGUGACCAGAAUUUCACGGGGACCUCCAAGACUAAAAUCACAUUUUUAACAACAAUUUUUUCAGCUACAAAGAACUAACUCAAUUUUACAAUCAACAAGCUCAUUACCACAUUUUUUGUUUCUAAUUACAGGUAACACGAAUUAUUUGUUUAUUUUUAAAUUGUACAACUGGCCCAAGCAAAAUAUCCAGUUGCAAAUUUUUAACCUACCGAAAAAAUUAUUCUCAGUUUUCUUAACAAAAUUUGUAAAUUUGUAAAAUUAAAAUCGAUAUUUUGCAUGCGGUGGUUUAGUCGAACUAAUUUUUAAUUAAGUUUUAAUUACUUUAAUAAUUUUAAUAAGCAAAUUGGCUAACUCCCGGUAAUAAAUGCUUUCGUACGUAUUUUCUUAGUGUAGUAAAAGGGAACAGACAAUUAUCCGACUUAAUUGGCAUCGGAUUUAGUUUUAGACGAUCAAACAUUAACCGGAAUUACGGAAUAUGUAAGCAUAAUGACUAGUAAUUUAAAGAUUACCAUUGGGAUCUGCAAACAGGUUGGAGUUAUUUCUGUUAGAUAUAAGAUGAAUAAUUAUUACAACUCGUCGUGGGUUAUAAAUGUUAUAAAUUGUAAUACUUUUAUCUUUCGGGAAAAUUUAUUCAAAUAGCUCGGAGACAUUAUGCAACUCUUAAUACACCCGUGCAUCCACGCUGCCAUUCAACUACGGAGGACUAUAACUUAGGAAACGAAAAACUAGGUACAAAAUCGCAGGAUUUUUUAAGAAUAUGGCGAUUUUCUUGACGUUAAACGAUUUUCCGGAUCAUUUUAUAUAAGAUAGUAUCAAAAUAGUUCUACUUUUUCGAAUAGUUUUGCCGUAAAUGAGGAAAAAAAUUGUAAAUAUUUUCUCCUAAACAUUUAACAUUUUGAGAAAAAAAAUCUAUUGUAUAGAUUUUAAUCUGCUCUUUAUGAGGGAAUAAAUCGUUAAGCUCUAAGAGUUAAAAAUUUACCGUAGUUGUUUCCUUCUUCGUCGAGUUUUUUGUCGAUAUUCGUUAUCCGGAACAUUUAUCAUGCAAUAACUCCCGAACUAUUAGUGAUAACCCUAUAAAGCUUAUUGCUUUUGAAAAGUUUUUUUAUUAUCUAUUUUUUUCAAAAAAAGGGUAAAUGUAAAAUAAAUUAUAAUUAAAAAACUAUUGGAAA